GACGAACGCUGGCGGCGUGCCUAAUACAUGCGAGUCGAACGCUGAAGGAGGAGCUUGCUCUUCUGGAUGAGUUGCGAACGGGUGAGUAACGCGUAGGUAACCUGCCUGGUAGCGGGGGAUAACUAUUGGAAACGAUAGCUAAUACCGCAUAAGAGUAGAUGUUGCAUGACAUUUACUUAAAAGGUGCAAUUGCAUCACUACCAGAUGGACCUGCGUUGUAUUAGCUAGUUGGUGGGGUAACGGCUUACCAAGGCGACGAUACAUAGCCGACCUGAGAGGGUGAUCGGCCACACUGGGACUGAGACACGGCCCAGACUCCUACGGGAGGCAGCAGUAGGGAAUCUUCGGCAAUGGACGGAAGUCUGACCGAGCAACGCCGCGUGAGUGAAGAAGGGUUUCGGAUCGUAAAGCUCUGUUGUAAGAGAAGAACGAGUGUGAGAGUGGAAAGUUCACACUGUGACGGUAGCUUACCAGAAAGGGACGGCUAACUACGUG
rnacentral:rRNA from 1 species